AUGAGAGCCAGCCUCUGUUCGUCUCAUGUCGCAACGGUCUUCCCAACCAGACCAGAGCGGGGCUCCUGCAGGUACACUUCGGCCUCGUGCCCUGAGGGCCUCCCCGGGUCCGCCCGCCCAGCGUGGGGGCACACAGUCUGCGGGUGUCUGGCACCUGAUGUGGAGACAUCCUUUGCCUGCAGGGCCCAUGGGCAUCAUGGUGCCCCGUGGUGGCCAUCCAGGACCUCAGUCCUCCUGCACAUGAGUCUACAUCACCCCCUCCAGUGCUGGACUAUGCAGCAGCGCGAGCCGGUAUUGAAAGCAGAAAGUGGACUGAAGAAUAAAGUUGGUAGACCUAAGAAUACAUUCUCUCCGUGCUCACAGACAGAAAGCUCCAGCAAACACUGGGGAGAACUGGCAGAAUUCCUGUGGCUCCAAACAGUGGUGUAGAGAUGAACUAGCUACACUCCAUACACUCCUCUACACAGUGAUCAUCAUGGUUAUCCUAAUGGCAAUUUGGGGAGCCUGGGCAAGGAAAGACGCCUACUCAUAGCUGCAAAAUGCUGUCUUUGAUAAAAACUUAGAGACACUCAUGAGGAUUAAAAAUACAAAGGAAGGGUCAUAACUCAUGGUCUUUGCAAAUUAUAGCUCAUCUUUAAUUUAAAGGCAGAACUGCUUCUGCCAGUGGAUUUGAACCAGUGAACCCACUUCGUGGACAAAGUACAGAACACAACUUCAAUGAGAAAGUGGAAUAUUAGUAAUGUAACACUGUUCAGUGUAACAUAUGUAAAUGAAACUGUAUGUUAAAUACAGUCUGAUGGGGGGAAUGUGAUUAAUACUUUUGCUGGUCAAAAUAUUUUUACAUCUGUCCCACUUUCCAUUUUUGACUUGAGUUGCUCGUUUGCUUGUUGUUUUAUAUUAUAGCAGGGAGUUGUGAUAAUGCUGGAGGGGGCCUACCUGAUUAUGAGCAAGCAAAGACCUCUGAUCUAGCUGAGUUCCCAACUCAGUUGCUAGAGAGAAGCGUUGUAGUUUGAGUUAUGUAGUUCUGUUUGAUUUUAUGUUUAUGUAAACAUCUCUUUUUGUUAAAAUCUGCACAGCCUCAGGAAUAAACUGUGGGGAAAACUAUAUUUGUAAGAGUCU
rnacentral:lncRNA from 1 species